rnacentral:rRNA from 1 species
UCUGGUUGACCCUGCCAGUAGCAUAUGCUUGUCUCUGAGACUAAGCCAUGCAUGUCUAAGUAUAAAUUAAUUUUUACGGUGAAACUGCGGACGGCUCAUUAAAUCAGUUAUAACCUACUUGAUCGUGUGACUUUAUUCGGAUAACCCUAGUAAUUCUAGAGCUAAUACGUGCUAAAAGCCUUAACUUCCAGCAAUGGGGGAAGAGGUGUAUUUAUUAGAAACUAAAACCAAUCAGCUUCGGCUGUUUGAGAUGAUUCAUAAUAACUCGGCAAAUUACGGGAAAAUUCCUGUGAUGAUUCAAACGGAUUUCUGACCUAUCAACUUUAGAUGGCAAAGUAGGGGUUUGCCAUGGUGACAACGGGUGACGGGGAAUUAGGGUUCGAUUCCGGAGAGGGAGCCUGAGAAACGGCUACCACUUCCAAGGAAGGCAGCAGGCGCGCAAAUUACCCAAUGCUAAUUCGGCGAGGUAGUGACAAGAAAUACCAAUGUAGGACCCAACGGGUACUACGUUUGGAAUGAGAACAAUUUAAAAACCUUAACGAGGAACAAUUGGAGGGCAAGUCUGGUGCCAGCAGCCGCGGUAAUUCCAGCUCCAAUAGUGUAUAUUAAAGUUGCUGCGGUUAAAAAGCUCGUAGUUGGAUUACGAAGUGGUGUUUAAAUGUCAUUUUGGUUUGUUUGUCUUUCGGGGCAUUCAGGUCAACUUGGCUUUUACUCACUGUUGUCAUUGUCUUUGCCCAAGGUAUAUGCCUUGUGUGCAUGGCAUUGACCUUCUAUUUUAUGGUAAUGUUGUAUCUUUCGGGGUACAUUCAUUCCAUAUAGUUUACUUUGAAAAAAUUAGGGUGUUUAAAGCAGGCGAAAAGGCUUCGGAAUAUAUUAGCAUGGGAUAAUAGAAUACGAUCUAGGUCGUAAUUUGUUGGUUUCUACGGCUUAGGUAAUGAUUGACAGGGAUAGUUGGGGUCGCUCGUAUUGAGUUGUCAGAGGUGAAAUUCUAGGAUUAACUCAAGACGAACUAAUGCGAAAGCAUUCGGCAAGGAUGUUUUCAUUAAUCAAGAACGAAAGUUGGGGGAUCGAAGAUGAUCAGAUACCGUCGUAGUCUCAACUGUAAACUAUGUCGACCGAGGAUCCGGUAGCGUUACGGAUGACCUUCCGGGCACUCUGUGAGAAAUCAUAAGUAUUUGGAUUUCGGGGGGAGUAUGGUCGCAAGGCUGAAACUUAAAGGGAUUGACGGAAGGGCACCACCAGGAGUGGAAUCUGCGGCUUAAUUUGACCCAACACGGGAAAACUUACCAGGUCCGGACACAGUGAGGAUUGACAGAUUGAGAGCUCUUUCUUGAUUUUGUGGGUGGUGGUGCAUGGCCGUUUUUAGUUGGUGGAGUG